rnacentral:rRNA from 1 species
UACAGAGGUCUCAAGCGUUUGUUCGGAUUCAUUGGGCGUAAAGGGUGCGUAGGCGGCGCGGUAAGUCGGGUGUGAAAUCUCGGAGCUUAACUCCGAAACUGCAUUCGAUACUGCCGUGCUUGAGGACUGGAGAGGAGACUGGAAUUUACGGUGUAGCGGUGAAAUGCGUAGAUAUCGUAAGGAAGACCAGUGGCGAAGGCGGGUCUCUGGACAGUUCCUGACGCUGAGGCACGAAGGCCAGGGGAGCAAACGGG